rnacentral:rRNA from 1 species
UACAUGGGGUGCAAACGUUGCUCGGAAUUAUUGGGCGUAAAGCGCGCGUAGGCGGUUAUCUAAGUCGGAUGUGAAAGCCCUCGGCUUAACUGAGGAAGUGCAUCCGAAACUGAAUAGCUAGAGUACGAAAGAGGGUCGCGGAAUUCCCGGUGUAGAGGUGAAAUUCGUAGAUAUCGGGAGGAACACCGGUGGCGAAGGCGGCGACCUGGGUCGAGACUGACGCUGAGGCGCGAAAGCGUGGGAGCAAACAGG